UGCAUGUUUAAUGAUUACACGCUGACACAAUGUUGCACAAUAAGUCGGGUUUUACUCCAGAUAUAAGCUCGGCUGGGAGAUAAAAGCUGAACAGAAGAGAGAAAUCUUCAUCAGACUCAGAGCCAUGCUGCGCUUCAUUUUCUUCCUGAUGUGUCUUUUGCAGUUAAGGCAAGUGCUGAGUGUUAUGGGAGCUGUCACCCCAAAGCCAAUUAUCAUAAAUGGCACCUACAUAAACCCAGAAUUAGGCAAGUAUCAUGCUAGGUUGAGGACCCUCGCUCGCAGCUGCCUGGAUGUCAAAGAG